rnacentral:rRNA from 1 species
AUUGAACGCUGGCGGCAGGCUUAACACAUGCAAGUCGAGCGGGGUGAUGGUGCUUGCACUAUCACUUAGCGGCGGACGGGUGAGUAAUGCUUAGGAAUCUGCCUAUUAGUGGGGGACAACAUUUCGAAAGGAAUGCUAAUACCGCAUACGUCCUACGGGAGAAAGCAGGGGAUCUUCGGACCUUGCGCUAAUAGAUGAGCCUAAGUCGGAUUAGCUAGUUGGUGGGGUAAAGGCCUACCAAGGCGACGAUCUGUAGCGGGUCUGAGAGGAUGGACCGCCACACUGGGACUGAGACACGGCCCAGACUCCUACGGGAGGCAGCAGUGGGGAAUAUUGGACAAUGGGCGCAAGCCUGAUCCAGCCAUGCCGCGUGUGUGAAGAAGGCCUUAUGGUUGUAAAGCACUUUAAGCGAGGAGGAGGCUACUUUAGUUAAUACCUAGAGAUAGUGGACGUUACUCGCAGAAUAAGCACCGGCUAACUCUGUGCCAGCCGCCGCGGUAA